UACGUAGGUGGCAAGCGUUGUUCGGAAUUAUUGGGCGUAAAGGGCGCGUAGGCGGUUUGGUAAGUCAGCUGUGAAAGCCCGGGGCUCAACCCCGGAGGGUCGGCUGAUACUGCUAGGCUAGAGUACGGAAGAGGUAGCUGGAAUUCCCGGUGUAGCGGUGAAAUGCGUGGAUAUCGGGAGGAACACCUGAGGCGAAGGCGGGCUACUGGGCCGAUACUGACGCUGAUGCGCGAAAGCCAGGGGAGCAAACGGG
rnacentral:rRNA from 1 species